GGUUCUAUAGUGUAGCAGUUGGCACGUCUGCUUUACACACAGAAGAUCCUGGGUUCACACCCCAGUGGGUCUA
rnacentral:tRNA from 1 species